ACAGCUGGACACGUCGAGAAAACAAUGGUGAUCUUUAUUUUGCAGAAAUGAAGUCAAAGUGUUGCUUACUGGUUGUCAAAUUGCCACACAUGAAAGGGGCUGGAAACAUAGCCAAUGUUCAGAGUUAGAGUCACUGCAUUGGAGACCCAGAAAUCAAGAGUCCUGAUCACACCGAGCAGGCUAAGAGAGGGCUGGGGAGGGAGAUUUCCGCCCUGUCCUUUUCGGUCCCUGGUGCUUCCUCGGCCAGUGUGAGUACAAUGAUUUGCACAACUACUGCUUUCACUUAGUGCAAAAAUGGACUGAUGUUUUAAGUUGAAUCCAGUAGUUCAACCACUGGAGCUUCAGAAGGGUCCACAGCCCGCCCCUUUCUGCCGGAACUGUCUUAUGUUAUCAUCUAAUCAGGCAUCCCUGGCCAUUCACCAAUGGUCCGAGAGUUGGGACCUCGUUGAUAAAUGUAUUUAUUCCGAAUUUAGGUGUAAGUCCCUUCCAGGCAGUGCAGCAGAGCAGAGGAUAACAAGGAGACAAUUUGGUUUUCUCCAUUUUCUUUAGGAACACACUUUUUACAUGAGUGCCUUAAGUGCAGCUGCCGUUUCCUACCAAGCAAGACAAUGAUCAGCCCUGCUUUGUUUGUUCCCACAGCUCAGGAACCUGGCUCAGAGCUGCUCCUCAGUGCCAGCUGCUGGACUGGACAAGAUUUUAGGCAAGGCACGGCCACACACCAGGAAGAGCCUGGCAUCCGCAGUGACCCUCGAGCAGCUGUCCCUGCAGCUGGGCCUGCCCCUCAAGCAUGCUGAGCCUGUCCUUCACAGCCCCGUGGUGCUGACCCAGGGCCCUGGGACCACCGGGAGGCACCUCUUCCUCUUCAGGGACUGGCUGGUCAUUGCCAAGCAGAGGUGAGUUGGUGGCAGUCAUCGCCUUGCUCUCUCCUAAAACUCAAUCUCUUUCCAAGACCCUAGCAACACCCAAGGGCACUGCAAGGGGCCCCAGAGCUUGGGACCCAGCCUGGCCCACGUUACCGGCGCUUCCAGCCUGCACAGGCUUAGGUGGCUCCGUCCUUCCUCCCUGUUCGUUGACAAGCAAAGCACCCAGAGGCUGAAUCCCUGGGACAACAUCACACAGGUAGUGGGUAGAAAACUAGGACAAGAAAAGUAGAGAAAAAUCCAUCAUUUAAAAAAAACAAAAAGCCCUAUGCAAACUUGACUUUUUGGUUUGACUAAAAGUGAGUAAUGUGUUUAUAGCAAUAAAGUUGAAAUCAGAAAUUGAGAAAGUCGAUAACUGAGUUAACAUGACCUGCACCAUUUUUCUCUUUGGGAAGCUCUGCAAUGAACACCUCCUCAAUGUGUGCAUUAGAGCAGCGUCUGGACUGGAGCCACAUCUCCCAGGACGUGGUAUAUUUUUCACAAAGAAACCUACAGGCCCAAGGAACAUGUGACAACCUUCUAAAAAUC
rnacentral:lncRNA from 1 species